UACGAAGGGGGCUAGCGUUGCUCGGAAUCACUGGGCGUAAAGGGCGCGUAGGCGGCCUGAUAAGUCGGGGGUGAAAGCCUGUGGCUCAACCACAGAAUUGCCUUCGAUACUGUUAGGCUUGAGACCGGAAGAGGUAAGUGGAACUGCGAGUGUAGAGGUGAAAUUCGUAGAUAUUCGCAAGAACACCAGUGGCGAAGGCGGCUUACUGGUCCGGAUCUGACGCUGAGGUGCGAAAGCAUGGGGAGCGAACAGG
rnacentral:rRNA from 1 species